rnacentral:rRNA from 1 species
GCUGGCGGCACGCCUAACACAUGCAAGUCGAACGAAGUAGCAAUACUUAGUGGCAGACGGGUGAGUAACAUGUAGGUAUCUGCCCUUUGGCCUGGAAUAACACGAGGAAACUUGUGCUAAUACCGGAUAAGUCUUUACCGAGAAAGCUUUAUGCACCAUUGGAUGAGCCUGCACUUGAUUAGUUUGUUGGUGGGGUAAUGGCCUACCAAGACUGUGAUCAAUAGCUGAUUUGAGAGGAUGAUCAGCCACAUUGGGACUGAGACACGGCCCAAACUCCUACGGGAGGCAGCAGUGGGGAAUCUUGCACAAUGGAGGAAACUCUGAUGCAGCGAUGCCGCGUGAGUGAAGAAGGCCCUUGGGUUGUAAAGCUCUUUCGUCGGGGAAGAAAAUGACUGUACCCGAAUAAGAAGGUCCGGCUAACUUCGUGCCAGCAGCCGCGGUAAUACGAAGGGACCUAGCGUAGUUCGGAAUUACUGGGCUUAAAGAGUUCGUAGGUGGUUAAAAAAGUUGGUGGUGAAAUCCCAGAGCUUAACUCUGGAACUGCCAUCAAAACUUUUUAGCUAGAGUAUGAUAGAGGAAAGCAGAAUUUCUAGUGUAGAGGUGAAAUUCGUAGAUAUUAGAAAGAAUACCAAUUGCGAAGGCAGCUUUCUGGAUCAUUACUGACACUGAGGAACGAAAGCAUGGGUAGCGAAGAGGAUUAGAUACCCUCGUAGUCCAUGCCGUAAACGAUGUGUGUUAGACGUUGGAAAUUUAUUUUCAGUGUCGCAGCGAAAGCGAUAAACACACCGCCUGGGGAGUACGACCG